rnacentral:rRNA from 1 species
UACGGAGGGUGCAAGCGUUAUCCGGAUUCACUGGGUUUAAAGGGUGCGUAGGUGGGCAGGUAAGUCAGUGGUGAAAUCCCCGAGCUUAACUUGGGAACUGCCAUUGAUACUAUUUGUCUUGAAUACUGUGGAGGUUAGCGGAAUAUGUCAUGUAGCGGUGAAAUGCUUAGAUAUGACAUAGAACACCAAUUGCGAAGGCAGGUUACUACUGGUGGAUUGACGCUGAUGGACGAAAGCGUGGGGAGCGAACAGG